rnacentral:rRNA from 1 species
UACAAAGGGUGCAAACGUUGCUCGGAAUUAUUGGGCGUAAAGCGCACGUAGGCGGCAUUGCAAGUCGGAUGUGAAAUCUUAUGGCUUAACCAUAAAAGUGCAUCCGAAACUGCAGUGCUUGAGUACUUAAGAGGAUCGCGGAAUUCCCGGUGUAGAGGUGAAAUUCGUAGAUAUCGGGAGGAACACCAGUGGCGAAGGCGGCGAUCUGGGAAGAUACUGACGCUGAGGUGCGAAAGCGUGGGGAGCAAACAGG